UUAAAGUAGUAAGGGCGCAGGGUGGAUGCCUUGGCACUAAGAGCCGAUGAAAGACGUGAUAAGCUGCGAAAAGCUUCGGGGAGGAGCACAUAUCCAAUGAUCCGGAGAUAUCUGAAUGGGGAAACCCGGCAGAGGAAACCUCUGUCAGCGUGCAGUGAAUACAUAGCUGUACGUGGGGAACCCGGGGAACUGAAACAUCUAAGUACCCGGAGGAAGAGAAAGAAAAUUUAUCGAUUUCCAAAGUAGCGGCGAGCGAAAUGGAAAGAGCCCAAACCGUGAUGCGUGCAUCGCGGGGUUCGGACUGCGUUGUGGCAGACGUAAGAUAGGAGAACGGACUGGGAAGUCCGGCCGGAGAGAGUGAAAGCCUCGUAUCCGAAAUCCCAAGUCGCCUAGCAGGAUCCAGAGUAGGACGAGACACGAGAAACCUUGUCUGAACGAGCGGGGACCACCCCGUAAGGCUAAAUACUUCUUAGUGACCGAUAGCGCAUAGUACUGUGAAGGAAAGGUGAAAAGUACCCCGGGAGGGGAGUGAAAGAGAACCUGAAACCCUGUGUCUACAAGCUGUGGGACCUCUUUAUAUGAGGGACUGCGUACUUUUUGUAGAACGGUCCGGCGAGUUGUGCGUACUGGCGAGGUUAAGGACUUAAGGUCUGGAGCCGAAGUGAAAGCAAGCGUUAAUAGCGCGUCAAGUCAGUGAGUGCAGACCCGAAACCGGGUGACCUAUCCAUGUCCAGGUUGAAGCUUCCGUAAGAGGAAGUGGAGGACCGAACCCACAUCCGUUGAAAAGGGUGGGGAUGAGGUGUGGAUAGCGGAGAAAUUCCAAUCGAACCCGGAGAUAGCUGGUUCUCCUCGAAAUAGCUUUAGGGCUAGCCUCAUGAGAGUCUUAUGGAGGUAGAGCACUGAAUUGCCUAGGGGGCGUCAAAGCUUACCAAAGCAUAUCAAACUCCGAAUGCCAUCAAGAUGAUUCAUGGGAGUCAGACCAUACGAGAUAAGUUGGAUGGUCAAAAGGGAAAGAGCCCAGACCUACAGCUAAGGUCCCAAAGUACGUGUUAAGUGGAAAAGGAUGUGGGGAUUCUAAGACAACUAGGACGUUGGCUUAGAAGCAGCCAUUCAUUGAAAGAGUGCGUAAUAGCUCACUAGUCGAGAGUCCCUGCGCCGAAAAUGUCCGGGGCUGAAACACGACACCGAAGCUUAGGAAUGUGUAAACAUUGGUAGAGGAGCAUUGCUGGCGGGAUGAAGCCAUACCGUAAGGAGUGGUGGACUGCCAGGAAGAGAGAAUGCCGGAAUGAGUAGCGAGAUGAAGGUGAGAAUCCUUCAGGCCGAAUAUCUAAGGUUUCCAGAGUAAAGCUGAUCUGCUCUGGGUAAGUCGGGACCUAAGGCGAGGUCGAAAGACGUAGUCGAUGGAUAACAGGUUGAAAUUCCUGUACCGCAUAUAAACAGAACUGUGGGGACACAGACAGGGAAUGGAAUCCGGGAAUGGAUAUCCCGGUGCAAGCGAGGUAGGAGUGCUGUUGGCAAAUCCGCAGCACGAUCUGAAGACGUGACGCGUACCGAACAUAAGUAGGGAAGUCCAGGCCCCUGGCUGUCAAGAAAAGCCGCUAUUGUUUUAUAUGUGCCCGUACCGCAAACCGACACAGGUGGAUGAGGAGAGAAUCCUAAGGCCGACGGGAGAAGUAUUGUUAAGGAACUCGGCAAAAUGACUCCGUAACUUCGGGAGAAGGAGUGCCAUGAGAGUGGCCGCAGAGAAAUGGCCCAAGCAACUGUUUAGCAAAAACACAGGUCUAUGCAAAACCGCAAGGUGAAGUAUAUGGGCUGACGCCUGCCCGGUGCUGGAAGGUUAAGGGGAGAGGUUAGCGCAAGCGAAGCUUUGAACUUAAGCCCCAGUAAACGGCGGCCGUAACUAUAACGGUCCUAAGGUAGCGAAAUUCCUUGUCGGGUAAGUUCCGACCC
rnacentral:rRNA from 1 species